rnacentral:rRNA from 1 species
UAAGACGGCCAUAGGGGCUUGGUCAUAUCCGAUCCCAUUUCGAACUCGGUCAAUCAAGCAAGCCUCCGUUUCAAGCUGUACUGCAUUUUAUGCGGGAACCUCGAAAAGCUGUCUGCC